rnacentral:rRNA from 1 species
GCUCAGAUUGAACGCUGGCGGCAGGCCUAACACAUGCAAGUCGAGCGGUAGAGAGAAGCUUGCUUCUCUUGAGAGCGGCGGACGGGUGAGUAAUGCCUAGGGAUCUGCCUGGUAGUGGGGGAUAACGUUCGGAAACGGACGCUAAUACCGCAUACGUCCUACGGGAGAAAGCAGGGGACCUUCGGGCCUUGCGCUAUCAGAUGAGCCUAGGUCGGAUUAGCUAGUUGGUGAGGUAAUGGCUCACCAAGGCGACGAUCCGUAACUGGUCUGAGAGGAUGAUCAGUCACACUGGAACUGAGACACGGUCCAGACUCCUACGGGAGGCAGCAGUGGGGAAUAUUGGACAAUGGGCGAAAGCCUGAUCCAGCCAUGCCGCGUGUGUGAAGAAGGUCUUCGGAUUGUAAGCACUUUAAGUUGGGAGGAAGGGUUGUAGAUUAAUACUCUGCAAUUUUGACGUUACCGACAGAAUAAGCACCGGCUAACUCUGUGCCAGGAGCCGCGGUAAUACAGAGGGUGCAAGCGUUAAUCGGAAUCACUGGGCGUAAAGCGCGCGUAGGUGGUUUGUUAAGUUGGAUGUGAAAUCCCCGGGCUCAACCUGGGAACUGCAUUCAAAACUGACUGACUAGAGUAUGGUAGAGGGUGGUGGAAUUUCCUGUGUAGCGGUGAAAUGCGUAGAUAUAGGAAGGAACACCAGUGGCGAAGGCGACCACCUGGACUAAUACUGACACUGAGGUGCGAAAGCGUGGGGAGCAAACAGGAUUAGAUACCCUGGUAGUCC